rnacentral:rRNA from 1 species
UACGAAGGGGGCUAGCGUUGUUCGGAAUCACUGGGCGUAAAGCGCACGUAGGCGGAUUGUUAAGUCGGGGGUGAAAUCCUGAGGCUCAACCUCAGAACUGCCUUCUGAUACUGGCAAUCUCGAGUCCGGAAGAGGUUGGUGGAACAGCUAGUGUAGAGGUGAAAUUCGUAGAUAUUAGCUAGAACACCAGUGGCGAAGGCGGCCAACUGGUCCGGUACUGACGCUGAGGUGCGGAAAGCGUGGGGAGCAAACAGG